CGCUGCAGUCACCCCUGCAGUCCGUCGUCCACUGGCCAGUUCAGCAGCCAGCUGUGCCGUUAGGAGGGGGGGCCCCGGUUAGAGGUUGCGCCCUGAGAGUGCCCUGGAAUGGUGCAUCCUUCUCCCCAGCUCCUCCCUUCCCGCUCCUCUUCCGGGCUGCCCUGGGUUGGGCAGCCUCCCUCCUCCGGGUCCUUCCUCCACGCCGUUGCUGCUUUAGAACCGACGGACUGGACAGAAGCCGACUGAACCUGAGUCCAGAUAAACCUCUCCUUUAAAUUGAGGACGUCGAGUAUUUUGUCCCAGCGAGAGGAACGCUGACCGACACAAGUGACCAAAUAAAGCACCGUGUUCCGUCAGUGUGGGUAAUGCGGUCACUGAACGACACGAGUGCAUUAUCUCUGACCCAGCAGAAAGCCGUCUGGAAGCGCGAGUCCCCGGCUGCUGAUCCGUGGGGUCCGAAGCCGCUCCGCCCGGGACGCGCGCGCCUGGGCACUUGAGGCGCGUUGGCCGAGGCCGGACCGACCGCGAAGUCCCCGGGAAAGGGGCUCUUCGCAAGGAAACCCAAGGCCCAGGCUUGUGCCCGGCAGGGGGCGACCUCACCUUCCGGACCCAGGACGCCUGGGCCGAAACUCCAGAGACCAAAACUCCUUGGAGACCAGAAUCCCCGGGCCUUGGUUUUCUCCGCAUCCGAUUCCCUUCGUUCCCUGAGUUCUACCAAAGGCUCUGAGGUUGGAAGACCCGGUUUAGCGGCGCAGCUGGGCUAACCCCGGAACGUCACUGGGGUCCGCCGGGGACAUCGGUGGCGAGAGGGCACCACCUUGCGGCCAGGGCGGAGGUGGCAGCGGCUGUCAGAAUUUAAGAGGCAGCAGGAGGAUCAUGCCCCUUCCUGCCUUGGGGACCCCUGCCUUCUCUCAGGGACACCUCAUCGACCCAGCUCUUCCCACCCCAGCUCCACCCAGCACUAGGAGGGGGCCUCAAAGCACACGUGUGGACACCUCAACCCCCACGAGAGAGCCCCUGUCCACCCCACCCUCUGAGACAGGGAUGCAGAAAAGUAUCAACUGCAGAAUGAAGAUGCGAACAGGAUCAACAGCAUUAUCACUGUACUAAGAAACAGAAGCUAAAAUGCACUUUGAUAAUAACAUGAAGAAUUCAAAGUUGAAUACUCUGGUUGCCAGGCGUGGUGGCACACACCUGAAAUCCCAGCAACACCACAAGGACCUAGGAAGACCAACUACCAAGAACUCAUGGAAAAAAAAUCGGGCUUGCAAACCUGCAGGACGUAAUAUCCUAGACUGGAAUCUUCUCUGGGGUCCACGACAGCUCCAGCUACUAAGUUUCUUUGUUCUUCACCCGAGUCAUCCAAGUGACUCACUGUCUCUCACUCCUUCCUCCUUUUCACCUCUGUGCCUGCUCUCUGGGGUAGCCCGAUUCAAAGGAGAGAUCUGCCCAGGCGUGAGUAAGCAUGCUCUUCAGAAACGCCCUUGCUAAUCGGCUCUGUCAUAUUCCAAUAAGAGAUAGGCGAUUGUCAGCCACUUCGCAAUCCUUGGACAGACGUCGGUUUUAACCAGAUUUCAUCGGCGAGCUGCAGAAAUUGGCAGGGGCCCUUCAGUGUGCUGUCGAUGUGUCUGGAAUUCAAAUAAUUUGAUUCCGAGAUACAGUGACAAUGGAGAGCAAGCCAUUACCUCGAGACACGGAUGCAGACAGCUGCUGCGACCCCUGUUCAUGGGAGGGAAACCGCUGCUCCCCAUGGCCACCCCCCCGGAAACCUCUAGCAUGCCUCGCUGCUGUUGCCCUUACUCAAGGACAUUAAAUUAAAAAGUAUGCAGCUGGCAAUUCUUUUUCUCUGUUU